ACACUGACAACAUGAAGGCCCUCUUCCUCAUAGGACUGCUUGCUCUGGUAGCGAGCACCGCCUUUGCGCAAUAUAGCGAAGUUGUUGGCAGUUACGAUGUUGCUGGCGGGGGUGGUGCUCAACAAUGCCCUGUAGAGACAAAGCUAAAUUCAUGCAGGAAUUACCUGCUAGAUCGAUGCUCAACGAUGAAGGAUUUCCCGGUCACCUGGCGUUGGUGGAAAUGGUGGAAGGGAGGUUGUCAAGAGCUCCUUGGGGAGUGUUGCAGUCGGCUCGGCCAAAUGCCACCGCAAUGCCGCUGCAACAUCAUCCAGGGGUCAAUCCAAGGCGAUCUCGGUGGCAUCUUCGGAUUUCAGCGUGAUCGGGCAAGCAAAGUGAUACAAGAAGCCAAGAACCUGCCGCCCAGGUGCAACCAGGGCCCUCCCUGCAACAUCCCCGGCACUAUUGGCUAUUACUGGUGAUGUAGCUUCCAUUUAUGACUAGCUAAUAAACUGUCACAUACCACUGCGUGUGACAAAUAAAAGUGGUCAUGGAAUAAUUUAUGAAUAAAAUUUCAGCAUGUGCCUGCGCGAGGUGUCUAUAGCAAACAUUUCAGUAUGCCUAUAUAUGUUAAUCAAGAUAGCAAUGUUCACAUACACCCAGAAUAAUAGUUUGUGUAAUUAGUUGUGUAUGUUCUUGGUGGUGGUUUGUGUACAGAUUUGCCUUCCUUCUAACAAAAUAUGAAUACAUGGAGCUGUUCAAGCCUUAAACAUGGAAGAUAAGAGAAUGAAACGAGCCAUCCAAUUAAAUUACUAUGAGUUUGCCGUGAGGAUACCAUUGUUAGUUCAACAAAUGACUUAAAAUAAUUCCAUUUUAUUUCCUGACAUGUUAACAAGAAUGAUAUGCACCAACCACUUCAUGUAUCUUGUGCACAAGCAUCAUCAUAAUCAUCAAUCUAACAACUUGCACAAGAUGACAAAUCUAGUUUCACAGAAAAAUUAAAUCUAGAACAAACCACUAGGCCUGAACGACAUCUAAAUACAAGACAAAAAACAACACAGCUCAAACAGGGUGGCAUUUAAAAAAAAUGGUGUAUAUUAAUUAGAUAUGCUAGAGUUUAUUACUACCUCUGUACCGAAAUAUAAGACGUUUUUGUACGGAAAUUGCUUUUGGAGGCCGAGCUCCAUGCAGGCCUUCAAAUGCAAAAUUCAAAAUUCAUGAAAAUUCAUAUUUUUACAUUUAAAAAAUUCUAAAAAAUAGAGACAUACAUGAAGGCAUAAUGCACAAGUGUGUAAAUAUUCAGGACGAAAUACGUUGAAAUGAGGGCUGUGCAAAAAUAAAUCUGAGACUUGAUACUAUUCAUCCUCCCAGACCAUGAAUUUGUCUUUUUUGUAUAGGUGGCAUUUCAAUGUAUUUGAUCCUGAAAUUUUACACACAUACAACUCACACCCUUGUUUACUUGUGCAGAUUUUUUCAGAUUUUUUGAAAUCGAUAAUUUCAAAAUUCAAAAUUUUCAAAAUAUGGCCUCCAUGGAGGCCGAGAUCCAAAACGUCGUACUCAUUUUUGUAGGCUAAACUAGCCUACUAAAAUGUCUUAUAUUUUGAUAUGGAGGGGAUACAAUCUUGCAAAGUUAGUUCUAACACGGAGCUGGGCUAUCCCUUGCUUAGUACACCAUCACUCCAGACCUCACACAAGUAUUUAGUUAAACCAAGUAAUAUUUAGUUCAGACAUGGCUAUGUUAGUCGGGAGGGCAUUGGUACGCCCAGUCCACCAGAGUUCAAGCCCUAAAUUUAGCGCUUUGGUGUAUCAUAAAAGUGGAAAAUUCUUUAUAAAAGGAGUCAAGUAUUUACAAAAAGCAGGGAUGGAGAUACAGUAAACAAAUGGAACGGGCUGACAAAUUCAUCUUGUCGGGCCGUUGGACACCUUUGAUCUUUCAACGAGAUCCACCUGCGGAGCAGCAGCCUGGUCGUGGUGGGCCGAGCAGGGUGCGUGUGUGACUUGGCAAAAAAAAAAGGCGGAAGCCAGAAGUGAGACUAUCGGCAUUUCCUAUUUGGCGCGUUUAGCACUCGUUAUUUUGCAUUUUGCAAACGGGCACACACUCCCCCUCCGCAUUGGGCCGACCCAUUUGCUUUUUUCUGUUUAAACUAUAGAAAAGGUGUGCUCGCCCUGACUCGAACUCGUGAUCUCUUCAUUGAGUAUAAACCACAUUAACCACUAUGACAACUUAGCGCUUGUUCCUUCUUACUUUUUAAAAAUUUUAGUUCGCAGAAAGCCCCCGGUAGCUUCCCAACCUAGUUUUUUCCACUUUGCUGGACAGGUUUCAGACGGUUCUUAAUUGGCUUUUCUUCCUUUUUAUUUUUUCUUGUUUCUUUGUUUUUUAUUUUUUCUGGUUUUUUUCCUUUUCAUAUUUUAUUUUUUUGUUUUUCUUAAAUGCACGAUUUUGUUUCAAAAUUGAUGACAUUUUCAAUUCACGAACUUUUCUUCAAAAUUGAUGAACUUUUUAUCAAAAUCCUUGAACUUUUUUCAAAAUCAAUGAACAUUUUUCAAGAUUAUGAACUUUUUCAAUUUUGUACACUUUUUUCAAAAUUGAUGAACUUUCUUUCAAAAUAGAUCAACUUUUUAAAAAAAAUUGAUGAACUUUUUAUCAAAUCCAAUGAACUUCUUUCAAAAUCGUAGACUAUUUUAAAAUUCGUGAACUUUUUUUAGUUUGUUACCCUUUUUCAAAAUCCAUGAAAUGUUUUAAAUUCGUGAUGUUUUUCAAUUUUUGUGAUUUUUUAAAUAUUUUUUCAUUUUCUCGAAAAGACAACAGUUGACCGGUCAACCAUUUUAGCGAAAAACCAACUGCGUCUGGCGAGGGGACUACACUGUUAAUGGUUAAUGGGCCGGCCCAGUGCUGUAGCUUAGUGGGCACCAGUCUCCUAGCUGGUGCAUAAGGCGCCUGCCGAGACAGUCGGGAGGCUUGGACUGUUGACAAGUGUGAUCGGACUGCUAGAGAGCAUCCACCCGAAGAAAAGGCCGGUAGCAAGCUCAAGUUAUUCCGGGAGGCCGUGGGUGGCUUAGUUUUACUAUUUUUCAACUCAUAGUACUCUCUCCAUUUGGUAUUAAAGGGUCACCGAGUAGGAUUUGAAUUUGUGAGGCCGAUGUUAUUAUGGAGCAGUGAUUUCUCUACACCCCUUCCCCCUCCCAUAUGUGCCUUGAUUCAUUAUUUUUGAGGGUUCGAAUCAAAACCCGGAUGAACAAAGUGGUGCCAAGCUUCUUGAAUAAGAGAGUGCCCCAAAAGGUAAAAGUCGUGUUCUAUAGGAUGAAGAUUCGACCCUCAUUAUUGAAUGAUGGUUAACUAAAAGGCGACACAGGAUGAAGAUUCGACCCUCAUUAUUGAGUGAUGGUUAACUAAAAGACGACACAAGAUGAAGAUUCGACCCUCAUUAUUGAGUGAUGGUUAACUAAAAGACGACAUGUGUAGAGUUAGGUGUUGGACGUAAUAGAGUUAGUGUAGCCCUAAUUGAAGAGAAGUCUUAUCCGACAACAACGAUUAAAGCGGGUUGAUAAUGUCAAAAAAGGUCAAUAUAGACCAAACUUGAGAGGAGGCCAUAAAGGGGGGGUAAGAGUAUCACCAAAAGCCGACGAGUUGAUUUCAGGAUCACAUGGGUUUAAGCUCUUAAGCACCAGCUUGUUGGGAGGCUUUGUUGAUCUCUUUAUCCUUUGAAUCAAAAAGGACCUGACCAAAAUUUCUUAUUUCUGAAAAUGUUCAUCCCUUCCUCUAAAAACUAACUGCAGGUUUUAAAACGACCAUUACAAAUUCUAUAGGGAGGUUCCAGAAAUAUGCUACAGUGCGAUUUUGCUGUCUUUUAUAAGAGCAGUUUUUUCAUUGACCAAAGGGAUUUCCGUAAACGGAAAGAGCUGGGGAGCUAACCCCACCCAGCCGAGACGCCGAAACAGAUAUAAUACUGUCGCAUUGUACAGAAAACUAUUCCCUCCGUCCCAUAAUAUAAGAGCGUUUUUGACACUAGUGCAGUGUCAAAAACGCUCUUAUAUUAUGGGACGGAGGGAGUACAACCUAUAUAUGACAAGUAAAAUAGCCAAGCCGAUCCAAACCACUAGACUAGACAAGGAGCAACACAGUAAAAGCAUUUCUUGAAGUGAAGUAACGCGCGCGGGGUGGAUGCGGGUGACUCAAAGCAGACAUGUGUAACAGAUUAGCACACUUCUAAAUCACCUCCAUCGUCUACGUACGUCAUCUCAGUCUUUAGUCAUCUCCGUCCUCUUCGGCAUCGUCCUCACUGAUCUCGGAGUCAUCUUCAAGAUCCCCACUCGUCUCAGAGUCAUCUCCAUCCCCUUCAAGAUCCUCGCUCAUCUCGGAGGCAUCAUCAUCUCCAUCUUCAAGUUCCUCCAGACCUGCACAAAGAAACAAUGAUCCAUGAUUGGGAUAGCAAUCAUUUGUGUUAUGAAAUUCCUUUAGCCAGCAGACCCAAUAAAUGAAAAAAACAUUCCCCACUGAAAGCAUUGGAAUAAACCAGUUUAGUAGAUCUCCUACAUACCAAUCUCAUGCAAUUCAGGACACCACCUGAAUAAAUUGAAACAAGGUCGCAUUCAUUAGGUUUUGAAACAAAAAAAGACUUCUAUAAUGCAACAAGCGGAUGUUUCUAGAGUAAAGCAACAUAUACUGCAACAACAAAUCUAUACACAUGAGUGAAGAACAAGUUCACCUGUCUGUAGCAGCAAUCACUUCAUCAUGGAAAUCCUCCACCGAGUCAUAUUGAUUCAGGAAAUAAACCACCGUGGGAUCCGACACGUCAGUUCCUUGAGAUUAAUCAAAGAUAUAUUUAGUGCUGGUGAAAUUUAAAAUCCCGGCAAUAUAGUGAUCAAUUAACUAAUGAAAUGCAGUUGAAGCAUCAUAUUUUCAGCGUGCAAGUUGGGUACAAUCUUAGAAAUAAGAUGUCAACUUAAAAAGACAAAGAUCUAAUCAAGCUGGACAACGAUCUCAUAAAUAAGAUAUCAUAUGAAGCUGGACAACAAUCUUAGAAAUAAGAUGAUGUCUGUACAUGAAGUUCCAAACUGUGUUCCAGACUGAACAGACUUUUCCACAUUGUGCUGACCUUAUUGAUUCACUCUGCAUGUAUAGGUUGAAUAGACAGAGAGACGCUCCUUUUGGUUUCAUGAAUGAGGAUAAAUGUAAAGGAUUAAAAUAGCUUUGUGGUAGCAGGAUAUAUAUAGAAGAUUUAUUAAUAUAUUUUGAUGGCUGAAUGUAAAGUAAAUACAUGUGGGAUCUGGGGCAGCGCAUGCAUGUGUGGCUUAAAAAACAUUGUCGCCUGGCAAAAUGCUGGCACGAGAAGCUUGCUGGACAUGCUUGCAUGGAACUCUGACGAAUGAAGCUAUGCCUUUGGAUUGCGCUAUAAAAGUGCAAGUUUUGUUGUCUGAGUCUUCCUGUUUGGAGGAUUGAGGGAAGGGGAUCAGAGGGGCAAAAAAGAUGAGGGGUCGCAGCGGAAGGCCAGGAAUAGAGGUAACGGAGGAAAAAAAAGUUUUGACUCCAGCGGCUCGCCACAGCUGACAGGUCACCAAGAAUUUCAGUCCAAGCUUACAUGAAGAACAAUGACUGCUUCGGGUAAGAGAACAGAGGCGUGUGGAUGAGGGAUCGAUGUGAGAGAAAAGUGGUGGACGGUUACUUUAAAACGUGUCAUUAAGUAAGUAAAUUGGAUUGUUACACAAGCCAAGCUGUAGGAACAUAAUAGAGUGAAUUUCAAGCAUAAUGGACUGAUGUAAACAAGAAAUGUCUUCAAACUGUGUCAGAACAGCCUAAUAACAACAUAUACAAGACAGGCCACCACCAAGUAUAUAUGGUGCAUUCUCUGUUACAGAGCACCACAAGGCUGCCUUGGCUCACCUUCAAGCAGCGGUGUGUGUCGCCGUUGAAUGUGGACGGCGCAAAGGGCAGCUCGUGUUGUACAUGCGGGAACUUGAUUUGGUGAAGCACCGGUUUAUCGUCGAAGGGGUCGCAGGCAAGUACACAGUAGGAGAAGUCGAACCACCAGAGCAAACCUUGAUGGGUGAGAACGCCGUCACCGCGCCACACUUGUUUAUCCAAGAUUUUCGAGCAGUCGGGCUCCUUCUCGACCCACGAGUACAAGUCGACCGUGCAGAAGAGCGUGAAGAAGACAACCUCUUCGGAAAAGCACGGGUUGAGAUCGGCCACCAUGAGAAGCCUGCGGUUGUGAUCGCGGAUGAGGCCGACGCAGUGGCGGCAGUUGAAGCCGCCGUCGUGGGGGAAGAUGCCCGUCGUCCUGCGGAAGAACGGAUCGCAGAUGUAGACGGCGAGCCCGAAGGAGGCGUAACCGCAUAGCAGAAGGUGGCCGCUGCGGUCGGCGGCCGCGAUGUAGGGGUACUCGACGAGUCCGGCGGGGCUGGCGACGCUGCUCUCGACGAAUAGGCGGGAAGGUAGCGGAACCUUGUUGAAGGUGAAGACCGCGUUGGGGAAUUUCGGGGGCUUCAUGAAAUCUUCCGACACAUCCGGAACAGCGUACAUGAUGUACCACUGCUCCUCCUGCGCCGCCGGGGCCAUUGCUCCUAGGGAUGGGGAUGGGAGGGAGGAGUUGGAUCGGUUAGGGUUCCCUGAGAUGUGUGCGGGGACGUGCAAUGUGGUCGAUGGGAGUUGGUUUUUUUUUAGGGGGGAAAUCUUGCCGCUUUAUAUUUAACUAAACAAAGUUUGGGAUCUCAUCCGAAAUUAUAUCAAGAAUAAAGUCUGGUGGAGAAUCCACCCAAACAACACUUCUUUCUCCUACUCCUACCCUAGCAAGCUUAUGCACGGCAGUAUUCCCAGUACGACGAACCCAAGACACUUUGUACUCCGUGAAAGAGUUAAGCAUCUCGUUGAUCUCCUGAACCCAUGGUCCAACGGCAGACAAAUUCCGAGUAGGUUGAUUUAUCAUCUGCACAACCGACUUGCUGUCGAGUUCCACAUGCACUCUCGGUACCUGUCUCUCCAGCGCCAUCUGGAUCACCUUCCUGCAAGCGAGGACUUCCGCAGCUUCUGGAUCGAUGAUGUGUGGGUAGAACUGACAAGCCCCCACUAUAUAUGCUUCUUGAUGAUCUCUCAACACCGCUCCGCCUCCACCUUUGUCAUUAUGCCGAGAAACCGCACCGUCCACCUUUGUCAUUAUGCCGAGAAACCGCACCGUCGGCGUUGAGCUUAAUCCAUCCCUCAUCUGGUGGUUCCCAUCGCUGUAUCACCAUCGGCUCCGGGACCGGCCUGCUCUUCUCAUGCGCCAGCUUCCAUUCUGCAAGGUGUAGCUUAACCUCCAUCGCUAUUUCAUGUGGUGCGCCAUUCUCUUCCCAUCCCUCGCUUCGUUCCUCGCAAGCCACAGACUAUAGACAGCCUGGAUCAUGAGCUCCUUCUCCUUCCCAGCCGCCCAGACGAACCAGCCCAAUAGCCAAGAGGCAACUGCAUUCUGGGAGUGAAUCUGGCACAGCGGGAUCUCCACCGCUGCUCCCAAUUCCGAACACAAUGCCUUCCAGAACUGGAUUGAAUGCUGGCAUGUCCAAAAACGGUGAACCACCGUCUCUUCUCGUCCACAUGCCGCACAAAAAACAACCGGUUUGAUCCGACGAUGAAACAACUCCGACCCAACUGCUAGACCAUUGCGAAUAAGGCGCUACAUGUGGAUCUUGGUCUUCCCCGGAGCACUAGUUUCCCACAAUGCCAUGAAACCCUUGUGUCUGUGGACUGAAGAAGAGGACUCCGGCCGUCCGGACCUCGUUUGGUUUAUUCACAUACGCAGGUGGUACGCACUCUGAACCGAGAAAACACCAUUCUUCGUCAUGUUCCACGCUAAAAAAUCAUCCUCUCCGUGGCCUUCGAUUGCAAUCUGCUGAAUAUCUGCUGCAUCUCCCGGGGUGAACAUGGCAUCCACACGGGCUUCAUUCAGCCAGCCCCAUCGGGCAGGAGGAGAUCUGCCACUUUCGUUACUCCCGGCAUAUAUGUUUGUCCCAAAGGCUUCGUACUCCCCUCUCGUGGUAUCCAAGGAUCAUGAUGGAUGUUAAUUCUGGUUCCAUUCCCAAUUCUCCAUAUGAGUCCUUCCCGGAGUAGAUCUCUCCCAUGCAGCACACUCCUGAACGUGUAGGACCCCGAAGACGGACAUGAAGUCGUAAGGAUAGAGUCAUCCUUGAAAUAAAGUGCUUUGAGCACCCGUGCACAUAACGAGUUAGGCUCCUAUAGGAUGCGCCAAGCUUGCUUGGCCAGAAGGGCUUGGUUGAAAGCUUCCGGGUCACGAAAACCCAUGCCACCAUCCCUCUUACUAGCACACAUCUUCUUCCACGAUAUCAAUGAACCUUCCAUUCACCAUUCAUUGCGCCCCACCAGAAUUUAGAAGAGACAGAAGUCAGGUUCCGGUACAUCUUCUUUGAGAGGCGAAAACAACUCAUGGUAUAGGUAGGUGUCGACUGGUGGCCAGAUUUUAUCAAAACAUCUCUUGCUGCCUUUGAGAGGCCUUGACAUUUCCAUCCACUCACUUUUCCUUUCGAGCUUUCCGUAACAUGCUUAAAAACCCCAUCUUUUGAUCUUCUAACCAGUGUUGGAAGACCAAGAUAUCUCUCACUAAGAGCUUCAGAUUGAAUGCCACAAAUAUUUUUGACUUGUGUCUUGGUCUGCUCUAUGCAUCCCUUCCCAAAGAAAAUAGAGGACUUUUUUCAAGUUAAUUUUUUGUCCAGAAGCUUUUUCAUACUUGAUCAAUAUCUCACACAAAGUCUCCAUAUUUUCCUUGGUUCCUUCCAGGAACACAAUGCUGUCAUCCGCAAAUAGGAGAUGUGUUAUAUGGGGGCCAGUGCUCCCAAACGACACACCUUUCAGAUUUUUGUCCUCCUUUGCUUUAUUGAGAAGAGCAGAGAAACCCUCCACACAAAAUAAGAAUAAGUACGGUGAAAGCGGGCCACCCUGCCUGAGUCCUCGCGUGGGCUUGAAUCUCCUCGAUAGACCACCAUUUAACUUGACAGCAAAUUGCGUCGACGUAACACACCUCAUCACCAUAGCCACCCCACAUAGGAUGAAAACCAUACUGUACCAUCAUCUGUUCAAGAAAAACCCACCGCACCCUAUCGUAGGCCUUCAUCAUGUCCAGUUUUACCGCACAAAGAGUCUUUUUCCUCUUACGAGUCCGGAUAGCAUGAACACACUCAUACGCUACAAGGACAUUAUCCGUAAUGAGGCGACCCGGAACAAAGGCACUCUGUUCCUCAGAGAUAAGAAUAGGGAGUAUCCCUUUCAAUCUGUUAGCAAGAACCUUUGUCGCCAUUUUAUACAGAACAUUACACAGGCUAAUGGGGCGAAACUGUGAUAGCAGCUCCGGCGAGUUUACUUUGGGGAUCAUCACAAUGAUAGUGGCGUUGAACUCCUCCGGUGUUGCUGCUCCAUUCAAGAAGUCACGAACCGCCUGACACACAUCGUUUUCUACCAGUGGCCAGUGCCUCUGAUAAAACAGUGCGGGAAGCCCGUCCGGCCCCGGGGCCUUUGUAGGGCCCAUCUGAAAAAGUGCCACCUCUAUUUCAUCAUCAGUGAUAGGUGAGGUGAGCUUAUGAUUCAUCUCCGGAGUGACUAAGAGUGCAAUGUUCUGUAACAGCCCUUCGGUGUCCACUGACCCCUCGGAUUUGAACAAGUGUUCAUAAAAACUCACAGCCAUCUCUCUCAUAUCCUCAUCUACCGUGCACCUUGUGCCAUCAUCCUUCCUCAAAGCCUUCACAGUGUUUUUCCUCUUGCGAUGAGAAGCACGGUUUUGAAAGUACUUAGGGUUUUGAUCCCCAGCCUGUAGCCAGUCCACACGUGAUUGCUGUUUGUAUAGUAGCUCUUCCCGCGCAUAAAUCUCCCUUAGUUGCUCCUCCAAAUCCCGGACCUCUAGUGAGGAUCCAGUCUGAAGGUCUCUGGUUCGGGCAUCGAGCAGUUGCACUUUGAGCUUCGCUAUCUGUCGACGAAUGGAGCCAAAAACUUCCCGCGCCCAUCGCUGCAUAUUACCUGUCGUCGUGCAUAACCUACUCCACACCGCUAUGAGCGAAUGAUCACCCGUUGCUGCCGCUUCCCAAACCUCCUGAACCAUAGCAUCAUAAUUUUUGUGCCUCGUCCAUGCUUCCUCGAAUUGGAAAGCUCUCGGUCCCCUCCUCUCAGUACGCGGAGCCGUCUCCAACGCCUGAAUGAGGAUGGCCUGAUGGUCUGAUUCCUCCGUGACCAAGUGUUCGACAGAGGUCUCUGGGAACAUGUCUAGGAAGCUCGCCAUGCACGUCGCCCUGUCCAGUCGGACUUGGAUGUUAUCCUCCCCAUCCCUCUUAUUAUUCCAUGUAUAGGGCUACCCCGAAAAACUUAAGUCCGCAAGGCCACAAUCAGCCAAGCAAUCUCGGAAAUCCUCCAUCUGUGCAAACGGCCUCGGGUUGCCCCCCUUAUGAUCUGAUUGAAACAGGGCUUCAUUAUAGUCCCCAGCACAAAUCCACGGCAAGUUGUCUUGCGCCCUCAAUUACCUGAUAGCGUCCCAAGAUUUUUUACGAAGUUCCGUUUUUGGCUCCAUGUAGAAACCAAUGAAUCUACAGGUUUUGCCCUCCCACACCAUCUCCGCAUCAAUGAAAUAUUGGCUCCAUGGCCUAAUAGUCAUAGUGACUGAGUCUCUCCACCAUAGUGCCAAUCCUCCGCGAAGCCCCACACAAUCAACUGCUACUCCUUGCUUAAACCCUAGCCUCCACUUUAAUCGCUCCAUUGCUCUCGCCUUCUUCUUUUGUCUCGCAAAGAAAAACCACCGCCGGGUUGUAGGACCGUAUCAGGUCUCUUAAUUCGUCAACUGUCGAGUCCAACCCCAAUCCUCGACAGUUCCAGGCCAAGAGAUUCAUGGCGUCCGGCGGCCCCCCACCUCGGGAUCUGCCGAUAUGUCCUGGUUUUCGGAGAUGCGAUCAAACACAGUAUUCGUUUUCUGUCGCUUAUCACGAAUGAAAGCCUCAUUUGAAGUCUGUCUGUCAGGGUCAUCCUUUGCCACCCAAAAUUGCUUCGGCCCCCUCUUGCGUCCACCGUAAUCAUACCUUGGCAGGUUCCUGGCAAAUUGCACCUCUCUAUACUCCUGCCUUGGCUUUCUAACAUAGUGCCCCUUGGUCCUGUUCCUGCCGCGCUCCUCCCCUGGCCCGAACCGGCUCUGGUCAUCACCUCUGAAUUCACCCAAGUUUUGUAACCGUCCCGCAAACCUUCUCUCCCUCUCCGCAUGCCCCGGGCUGCCAUCAUGAUAGACCUGUUGCUUCUCUUGUAACUUGUUCCUCAGGUCCUUCUCUCUCUUUUUUUCAAGGCCGUGUCGCAGGUCCAGCUCCCUGGCCUCCCCCCGUCAUUCCCAGUCCUUUAUGGGGUUGUUUAUUUCCCCCCUCAUUGAUCUAGAACCACCGCCAGUGCGGGGAUCCGUCGAUCGUGAUAGUUCCUCAUUCAAGUUGCGUUUAAUUGGUAUAUCCUGUUUUCCUUUACUCUGGCGUCCCCGGUCGAUGUCGCCGAUUCUGCCACUACCCCAACUGUUAUUGCUGCUCAUAGACUGGCCAAAGGACCCCUCCUUUUCAUUUCCUUUCCUGCUGAGUGAUGCUCUAAGCCAUCCGCCCCAUUGAGCCGAUGAGUCCGUUGGAGGUACACAAACGCCUCCCGCAUGCACUAACCGGCCACAUUCAAAGCAAAAAUGAGGGAUUUUUUCGUAAUGAAAAUCAAACCAUGGCCCAUCCUUGUCAUCCCGUGAGGUUUGAGGUAAAAACCUCUCACCAGAGGCUCGAACAUAGAAAUUCUUGCUCUCACCCUUAGAUUGUUGCCUCUGGCCACCCCCUCACUGUCACAGUCAACUCGAACAAUGUCCCCCAACCAGUUGCCUAAUGCCUUACCAAACUUUUCAGUUCUCUUAUCUGGGGGUAGAUCAUCCACCCGGACCCAUACCUCUAUAGAAUCAAAAACCAUCUCAGACGGUCGUUUAUUUUCUUCAUAUUCCUUGAGAAUAAGCACGCUGAAAUUGUACUGCCAGGGUCCGUUGUUCAUUGCAUGUUUAUAAUCCCCCUCACUUCCAAAGUGCACCUCAAACACAUUCGAUCCCAGGUCUCGAAAUCUUGCUUCUCUGUGCAGUCCCCACGCUCUCGUCAUCGUUCGUUCCAAAGCGCUCCUGAUCAUUGGUCUGUUUGAACAUACCUUCCCAACUGCUGACCAUCUUGAGCUUUUGGGUAGCACCUCCUCCUGAUCAUCAAACACCAAACCUUCCGCCUCCUUAUCCAUCAGUACCAUCCCACCCAUCCUUGCCGAAAGACUCGACAUCGGAUCCGGGGUUUUUCUCUCAACUGGGGAUUUUGAAGAACCCCUGCUCAAUGAAUCUCCCGUCUUGCGCACCGGCGUAGCCAUCGCAGCCCGAGUUGUACCAGCCGGUGUUUUGUUCCGCUGUGCCGACACCCCCGGCGCCGUCGCCGGAGGCGCGGUUCCUCGCUGGUUUGUGGAGACCGACGCCGUAGCCACAGAUUUUGGCAUCGAAAAGGCCAUCUUCUCCUUCAUCGUAGCCUCACCCUUAGCAGGUGUAGGCCCUCCACGUUUCUGUGAGAUCGCCGCCGCCGCCGUAGAUGCCAUUGCCCCUGAAGCCGCCGUCGUCUUCUCUGGUGCUUUCUCCACCAUGGCUCCGCCCGCAGCAGAGAGGGAAACACCACCGAUCCGGGACUGAGUCAGCACCGUCGCCUUCCCGAUCCUGAUCGGAAUCUCUCUCACCCCCGUAGCGAAAACCCUAACCCUAGCACGCGAGCGCAAUCGCCUCACGUCACCUUAGCGUUUUCCCACGUGGUGGACCCCGGGGAGUUGGUUUCUUUAAGGAGUAUGUUUCAAGUUUAUUUUUCUUUCUUUAAGGAGUUCUUGUUUUGAAAAUUGUUCGGAAACUUCAAAAAUGUUUGCGCUUACAAAAAAUUUCAAAUUUUAUAAAAAUGGGUGUGUUUUCAAUUUUUUUUUCCUAAAUUCAAAAAUUGUUUCCAUUUUUAGAAUUUGUUUCGGAAUUUCUAGAAACGUUCCAUUUUUCUGAAAAUGUUUGCAUGUUUUUGUUCUUGUAUUGAAAACUUGAUCACGAAUUCAAGAAAUGUUCUUCUUUCAAAUUGUUGGUCAUGUAUUAAAAAUAUGUUCAUGUUUCAAUCUUGUUGGGAUUUUCAGAAUUGUUCUCCCUUUCAAAAUUGUUCUAAAAAUUCAAAAUAUGUUCGUUAUUUUAAAAAAAAUCCCCGUUUUGAAAACAAUUCUCAUAACGCGAAAAAAGUUCAUGUUUACAAAAAUGUUAAGAAUAUUAAAAAUUGUCCCUGUUUAUAAAUGAUGUUCACGUUUUAAAAAAAUGUUUGGGAAUUUCAAAAAAUGUUCGUGCUUCUCAAAAAUUGUUCAACAAUUCAAAAAAUGUUCCCAUUGUGAAAAACUGUUCAGAAUAUUAAAAAUUGUCUCACAAAUUCAGUAAUGUUUGUGUUUUCAAAAAAUGUUCGGGAAUUUUGAAAAAAGUUCAACAAUUCAAAACAGUAAACAGGCACUCUCGCUACAGCACCCACUAUUGGGCCGGCCCAGUCACGGGGUCCCUGUGCGUCGGUCGCGUGGCUGUUCGAGGCAAAACGCGUCGAAUAGGAGCUCCUGAGCUCCUGUAUGACGCUUGUUAGCGUCAAACAGAAGAGCUUCCGCACAGGGCUCGCGCAAACGAGCCGUCCCAUUGAUAGGCCAAUGUAAGAAAAAAAGUAACGAACGAAAAAUCAUAGCGCUAGUUGGUUUCCAACUUGCGACCUUGCACUGGAUAGCCACGUCGAAUGCCACUCCCGCUAGCAACUGGUAUUAUUUUUAACUAUAUCGUAAACUUCAAGUACCAUGUACAGCGGCAGAUCGGUUUUUUAAUCUUCAUUCAAAAAAAAUGAAUAAUGUUUUCUUGAACAAAUUUUGAAACUCGAACAAACUGUUAAAACAUAUUUUUUUAAAACUUACAAAUCAUUGAAAACAUGAACACAAAUUUAUUACUUUUUUAUAUACGAUGAAUGAUUUUCAAAUAUACACUGAACAUUUUUUAGAUGUACGAUGAACAAUUUUGAAGAACAUAGUGAACAUUUUCGUGAUAUACACUGAACAAAACUUAAAACAUAAUGAACAUUUUUGUGAUAUACCAUGAACAAAUUUUGAACAUUCAACAUUUUUAUAAUAUAAUCUGAACAAUUUUUAACCACGCAUUGAACAAUUUUGUGAUAUGCGCUGAAAAAACAUUUAAAUACCCAUUAACAUUUUGUGAUAUACACUGAACAAUUUUAAAAUUUUAACAAAAUUUGAAAAAGUUAAUAAAAUUAUAGAAAACUGUGAACGCGUUUUGAAAUAACGAAUUUCGUUGGGAUUUCGAAACAUUUUCUUGAAAACAAAGUAUAAAAAUAGAAACGAAAAAUGAUAAAAUGAACGGAAAGGAAAAUGAAAAGAAAUACAAACAAAAACAGAAUAAAAUAGAAAUAAAAAAUGAAACAGGGAAAAACCAGCAAAACAUUGAACAUUUUUGUAAAAAAAUACGCUGGAAAUUUUUUAGCUAAACAUUGAACAUUUUUGUGAUAUACACUGAACAAAUAUUUAAAUAUACAUUGAACAUUUCUGUGAUAUACGAUGAAGAAAGUUUUGAAUUGUGACAAUUUUUUAAAAAAGUGAUUUUUUGGAAACCAUUAACAUUUUUUUAUAUCAUGAACAAAAUUAUGAAUUUCAAACUUUUUGAAAACAAAGAAUAAACAAAUGAAAAAGAACAGAAGCAGAAAAAAAGGAAAAAAGAAAACAGGCAAAAAGGGAAAACCGACAAAAAGAAAAAAACAAAAAAACCCGGUUAAGGGAACCUUCUAGAAGGUUCCCAAAAUUGGUUGCCAGGAGCUGCUUUAAACGCUCGUUAUGGGCCAGCCCAUUUCGCACGCGCUUCAGCAAAAGCGGCGCAGCUGGACGCUCGCGCCCGUCACAUAGGGUUCGCCCCCCCCCCCCAAGGGCGUUUUUAGGCAAAAAAAAUAGCGCAUGUUGGGGUUGGCCGGUACUGUUUUUGGCGUGGGAGGCUCGGGGAGUUUCAACUCAAAUUCGGCACGAAUUCGUUACACUUCGGCACAAAUUCAGCAAAGAAUAAUUUUUAUCGCAUAGUUUAUCACAAAUAUUAGUACAAAUCAAAUAGUUCAACGAAGCAAGCUUAUAAUUCGAACACAAACUAAAACACAUCAAACUAGGCGUUGCCUUUGAGCCUCCAUAGGUGCUCCACCAGAUCGUGCUGCAGUCCUUAUGCACAUAUAGCUCUCGGAUUCCUAACGCAUAUUGAGGAAGGCAGCCCAUGCUACCGGUACCUGGUAAUCAACACCUGCAAUAUGGUUCAGUGUCAAACACUGGCUCGUCCUGCUCGCUCUCAAUGAUCAUGUUGUGCAAGAUGACACAUCAAUUCAUCACAUCCCACAUCUGAGAUUUCGACCAGGCCAGAGCGGGGUACUAGACAACAGCAAAUCGAGAUUGGAGCACACCAAAUGCACGCUUGACAUACUUCCUGCAAGCCUCCUGACACUUAACAAAGCAGGAUUUCUUGCCUCCUGGCACAGGGUUUGAGAUAGUCUUCACAAAUGUUGACCAUCUUGGAUAGAUGCCAUCUGCUAGGUAGUAUCCCUUGUUAUAGUGGCGCCCAUUGACCUUGAAGUUCACCGGAGGAGCAUGACUUUAACAAGCUUGGCAAAGACAUUCGAGCACUGCAGGACGUUGAUGUCAUUGUAAGUUCCUGGCAUACCAAGAAGGAGUGCCAAAUCUAGAGGUCCUUUGUAUUGCCUCAAGUACCACACCGCAAGCUCCUUUCGCUCCUUUCUACAUUCCCUGCCAGGCAAAUGGACAGUUUUUCCAUGCCCAAUCCAUGCAUUCGAUGCUUCCAAGCAUCCCAGGAAAUCCUCUUGCUUCUGUGCUAGGAUCCGAGCAGUGUCUUCAGCAUUGGGUGACCGCAAGUAUUCUGGUCCAAACACUUCCACCACUGCCCUGCAGAACUUGUACAAACACUAGGCCAUGCGUCCAAAUCUCUAGUCGCAUGUGCUUCUACCUCGCCGACAAACUGGAAGGGAUGGCCUUCCCCAACCCGGGGCUCUACACCCAUGUGAAGGGCAAGGAACAGUAGCAAUAGGUUGCUGAGGAUUUUGAGAAAAUCAAAUAGUGUUCCGGAGAAUUUUGUGAAUCAGAUGAACAACUAGGAAUGAACAAAUCCUUAAUACGUGUGAGGAUUAUUCGUAGGCGUAUUCAUGCAACAAAUAUCUAUAAGGCAGUGGCACAAGGGAUUCUUAAAAAGUUGGAGAAUAAUUUGAUGCACCUUGUAAUAACAAGAGCAGCUGGGAAUGAAAGUAAGAACGACAGGUGUAUGUAUUUAUCCAUAGGGAUAUAUCAGUGGUAGGGGAUUGCAAAAGCGACGGGCACAGAGUCUCGAGAGAGCAUCGGAGAGUAUCUUCGAAAUCUUCUGGUGUAGCAGGCGAUCAUCUGGACUGAAUGGGCUCUCCGGGAGAAAGUAUUUUCGAGAACCUAAAGUUAGAUUUUUAGCAAAAUUAUUUAAACCGAAUAUAAGAGAUAUCAGAACCCCAGAGUAUAGACGAGGAAUAAAAGAUCCUAAUACCACCCAAAUGGCUACAUGGACCCGUAAGCCACACAACCAUGUUAGCAAAAAGUUAUUCAAUGACUAGACUCAACUUCGGCCAAGGAGUUGGAAAGGGGGAUUCCUACUGGCAGUCGGCUCUGAUACCAACUUGUGACUCCCCUGAUUUGACCAUACACAAAUCAUACACGCAAAUGCGUACGACCAAGAUCAGGGACUCAUGGGAAGAUAUCACAACACAACUCUAGACACAAAUUAAAGUCAUACAAGCUUUAUAUUACAAGCCAGGGGCCUCGAGGGCUCGAAUACAUAAGCUCGAAAGCACAAUAGUCAGCGGAAGCAACAAUAUCUGAGUACAGGCAUAAGUUAAACAAGUUGUCAUAAGAUGGCUAGCACAAACAGGGAUAAAGAUCAAAAAGGCAAGGCCUCCUGCCUGGGAGCCUCCUAACUACUCCUGGUCGUCGACAGCCUCCACGUAGUAGGAGCAUCCGUCGGGGAUUUAGUAGUCGUCAGCGGUGGCAUCUGACUCCUAGGCUCCAACAUCUUAUCGCAACAUCCGGAAAGUAGAGAGAAGGGGGAAAUGGGUAGCAAAGCAACCGUGAGUACUCAUUCGAAGUACUCGCAAGACUUACAUCAGAUCUAAACUACAUAUGCAUUGGUAUCAAAUGAAUGGGGUAAUAUCUGUGGACUAAACUGCAGAAUGCCAGAAUAAGAGGGGGAGAAGCUAGUCCUAUCAAAGACUACGCUUCCAGUAACCUCCGUCUUGCAGUAGUAGAAGAGAAUAGCAGAUAAGUAUCAACACAUAGCAUAACCCACCUGGCGAUCCUCUCCUUGUCACCCUGUGAGAGAGCGAACACCGGGUUGUAUCUGGAAGUUAUCUGGGUGUGCUUUAUUAAGUCGGCUGGUACAUCAUCCUCCCAUAGGAGGCCUUUGCAUCUGGGCGUGUGUGGCCUAUUUUCAUUUCACCCCAGUUAUUCCAUCGAACUAAGUAGCAACAUGUAAGGAGUCAGUUUUCGAGAUACCACACAACACCAAUUUUCCAACGAAACUAAUGAGAAAUAAAAAGGUGCAUCACUCAUUUUCGACCAAAUUAAUUAUGUCUUGGUAUUAGAGUUUUCUCUCUCUGUCCUGAUAAACCCAAACGGAGGGAGUAAAGAUUAUCUAUCUCAACAUCACAUGAUUCUAAAUACAAAACAGAAAACCACGGCUAGAAGAGGACGACAUCUAGAGGCAUUGCUUUUCAUGUACUAAUACCUUGUUAAACACAUUCUCUAACAAAUUGGUUUGGAUCCUUCUUCAACAAUUUCCACACACUACAAGGCCAGUUCACAAAAGCUUAAAGCGUGAGCAUUGGUACAAAACUAGUUGUGGUCUAUCUUGAGAAAAGGGAACACUUAGUACACGAAACGUCACCUGUCUCAACAACUUGCACCAUUUCUGUUGGCUCGCAAAGUAACUUUAUUUAGUAUACCAACUUAAUUUGUGAGCAUUAGCCAAAGCAACACACAAUGGUAGGCAAAAACCAUGUCACUAAGCAAUAAAUAAAGGGGAGCCUCAACCCAUCUAUUCAUCUCCACCACCACCAAAACAACAUUGAAAACAUGAAGACCUUAUUCCUCCUAGCUCUCCUUGCUCUUGUAGCGAGCACAACCUUCGCGCAAUACUCAGAAGUUGGCGGCUGGUACAAUGAAGUUGGCGGAGGAGGUGGUUCUCAACAAUGUCCGCAGGAGCGGCCGAAGCUAAGCUCUUGCAAGGAUUACGUGAUGGAGCGAUGUUUCACAAUGAAGGAUUUUCCAGUCACCUGGCCCACAAAAUGGUGGAAGGGCGGCUGUGAGCAUGAGGUUCGGGAGAAGUGCUGCAAGCAGCUGAGCCAGAUAGCACCACAAUGUCGCUGUGAUUCUAUCCGGCGAGUGAUCCAAGGCAGGCUCGGUGGCUUCUUGGGCAUUUGGCGAGGUGAGGUAUUCAAACAACUUCAGAGGGCCCAGAGCCUCCCCUCAAAGUGCAACAUGGGCGCCGACUGCAAGUUCCCUAGUGGCUAUUACUGGUGAUGAUAUAGCCUCUAUUCGUGCCAAUAAAAUGUCACAUAUCAUAGCAAGUGGCAAAUAAGAGUGCUGAGUGAUGAUCUAUGAAUAAAAUCACCCUUGUAUAUUGAUCUGUGUUCGAGAUACCUGUGUAUUGAGUUUGUUGGUGGUGGUUUGUGUGCAUGUGUGUGCUUCUUUAACAAUAAUAAAAAUAUACAACUUGUUCGAUACUUCACAAGAAGGAGAAGAAGAUUAAAUGAUUCAUACAAGACAACUAUAUUUUGU
rnacentral:lncRNA from 1 species